UACGUAGGGGGCAAGCGUUGUCCGGAAUUAUUGGGCGUAAAGAGCGUGUAGGCGGCCAGAUAAGUCCGCUGUGAAAUCUCGAGGCUCAACUUCGAGCUGUCGGUGGAAACUAUCUGGCUAGAGUCCGGAAGAGGAGAAUGGAAUUCCUGGUGUAGCGGUGAAAUGCGCAGAUAUCAGGAGGAACACCGGUGGCGAAGGCGGUUCUCUGGGAAUAUCCUGACGCUGAGGGGCGAAAGUGUGGGGAGCGAACAGG
rnacentral:rRNA from 1 species